rnacentral:rRNA from 1 species
UGGGGAAUUUUGCACAAUGGGCGCAAGCCUGAUGCAGCAACGCCGCGUGAACGAUGAAGGUCUUCGGAUCGUAAAGUUCUGUUGCAGGGGAAGAUAAUGACGGUACCCUGUGAGGAAGCCCCGGCUAACUACGUGCCAGCAGCCGCGGUAAUACGUAGGGGGCUAGCGUUAUCCGGAUUUACUGGGCGUAAAGGGUGCGUAGGUGGUCCUUCAAGUCGGUGGUUAAAGGCUACGGCUCAACCGUAGUAAGCCGCCGAAACUGGAGGACUUGAGUGCAGGAGAGGAAAGGGGAAUUCCCAGUGUAGCGGUGAAAUGCGUAGAUAUUGGGAGGAACACCAGUAGCGAAGGCGGCUUGCUGGACUGCAACUGACACUGAGGCACGAAAGCGUGGGUAGCAAACAGG